CAGUCGCCACGGUAACACAGAGGGUGCGAGCGUUAAUCGGAUUUACUGGGCGUAAAGCGUGCGUAGGCGGCUUCUUAAGUCGGAUGUGAAAUCCCUGAGCUUAACUUAGGAAUUGCAUUCGAUACUGGGAAGCUAGAGUAUGGGAGAGGAUGGUAGAAUUCCAGGUGUAGCGGUGAAAUGCGUAGAGAUCUGGAGGAAUACCGGUGGCGAAGGCGGCCCCCUGGACAAAGACUGACGCUCAGGUGCGAAAGCGUGGGGAGCAAACAGGAUUAGAUACCCCCGUAGUCCCUGUCUCUUAUAU
rnacentral:rRNA from 1 species